GCCGGAGUGGCGGAAUGGCAGACGCAGGGGAUUUAAAAUCCCCCGGCUUAUGGCUGUGUGGGUUCGAGUCCCACCUUCGGCACCA
rnacentral:tRNA from 1 species